CUCUGAUGAAGAGGCAGGAGUAGCACUGUUGUGAAGAGCUGUGUGUGAGGAAACCACCCAGAAGGCCCAUGUUGGAGCACUAAACAGUCUCUUCUCUGACACAGGGGCCCAUAUGAAUAUUUGGUGUGAAGCUCCCUUGCAGCAGCAAGAGAUACUCAGGAGGAUGACACUGCUGUGCUGACAUUUGGAUCUUUGCUAAAAUUCGAUCAGACCAACAGUGACCCUUGAGGGAAAACUUGGGGAUGUCACUGAGACCCAGAAAGAAGUUAUACUAAAAACCAGAAAGAAAUUGGUUCUUCUAAUCCACUGCAUCUGAUCUCUACUGGUGUGUACUGAAGAAUGGAAAUGCUUUUCCACUCUGCAUGUGGUAUUGCAUCUGAGGGGAGCCCUGAAUGAGCCAUCUCUUCACCAGCUUGCCCAGAAAUGCAGCCAUGACAUGAUGGUGCCAUGCAAGUUCCAUGUGCCUCCUC